rnacentral:rRNA from 1 species
GUGGGGAAUCUUCCGCAAUGGACGAAAGUCUGACGGAGCAACGCCGCGUGAGUGAAGAAGGUUUUCGGAUCGUAAAGCUCUUUCGUUAGGGACGAACGUGCUCUUUGUGAAUAAUGAGGAGUAAUGACGGUACCUAAAUAAGAAGCCACGGCUACCUACGUGCCAGCAUCCGCGGUAAUACGUAGGUGGCAAGCGUUGUCCGGAAUUAUUGGGCGUAAAGCGCGCGCAGGCGGGAUAUCAAGUCUGUCGUAAAAAUGCGAGGCUCAACCUCGUGAGGGGACAGAAACUGGUAUUCUUGAGUGUCGGAGAGGAAAGUGGAAUUCCAAGUGUAGCGUUGAAAUGCGUAGAGAUUUGGAAGAACACCAGUGGCGAAGGCGACUUUCUGGACGAUGUCUGACGCUGAGGCGCGACAGCUAGGGGAGCAAACAGGAUUAGAUACCCCUGUAGUCC